rnacentral:lncRNA from 1 species
GAAGAAUCUCAAGCCAAUGUGACUGAAUUGAACUGAGAAUCAGAACAAUGUCAUAUAUGAAUCUUUUUUGUCUUUUGAGUGCAAUACAAUCAGUAACUCCGGAGAACGGCAGAUGGACACUGGGGCUACUAUUACAUUUGUGCCAACAAGUCAAUGUUCUCUUCGUACACACUAGUUGAUGGAGAAUAACUGUAUAGCUCUAAGGUUGAAGGACAAGGGGAAGUGGUAGUCAACAUAACUUACUGACAAGAAACUCAUCCUUAAUAAUGUGCUACAUGUCUGACGUUGCAGCAGUCCGGUGUUUGGUCUUUCCUUCAAGAUCGAGAAGCUGCUGCUAUCGUCAAGACCUGCAUUAGAGGGAGCAAUCUGAAGUACACAACAUGAAGGUGUAGGGCUCAAAUAAUUUUGAGUUUGAUUUUAUUUUAAUUUAUGCAUUUCUUUUGCAUUAUACAUGUUCUAGUGUUGUAGGAACUUUAGAUACAACGAAUUAUUCUUCUAAAGGGGCUGACUAUGUCUAAUUCAAUAUCUUCACCAGUGGGAACAUGAAAUUGAAACUUAUACACGGUAAAUACCAAAAUGAUAGGGUUACCAAAGCCCAUAUCACACUUCCUACUUUCUGAACAUGUUCAGGAAUUAAUCGUGCUGCUUGUUUAAUGUUUUUGAACCAUAUAUGGUUUUCCCGUCCUUUUAUAUGGUCAAGUUGUUUCCCUGUGCUCCAGUCACAGAUGGCUGUAAUGAAGCCAUAAAUGGCAUGGCGUGG